rnacentral:sRNA from 1 species
CAGGCUGUCCAGGCGCAAUGUGGUGGCUGCUCCUCUGGGGAGUCCUCCAGGCUUGCCCCACCCGGGGCUCCGUCCUCUUGGCCCAAGAGCUACCCCAGCAGCUGACAUCCCCCGGGUACCCAGAGCCGUAUCGCAAAGGCCAAGAGAGCAGCACGGACAUCAAGGCUCCAGAGGGCUUUGCUGUGAGGCUCGUCUUCCAGGACUUCGACCUGGAGCCGUCCCAGGACUGUGCAGGGGACUCUGUCACAGUGAGCUGGGGAUGGGGGGGUCCCGCCAGAACUGUGGCCAGGGAGACUCCCGGGGUUGUGGGAAGUGGCGGUGCCCUGAAUCCCCCAUCUGGAGGAGG